UCCGGAUUUACUGGGUGUAAAGGGAGCGUAGACGGAAGGUCAAGUCAGGUGUGAAAGGCUGGGCUCAACCCGUGGACUGCACUUGAAACUGGUCAUCUCGAGUGUCGGAGGGGCAGGCGAAUUCCUGGUGUAGCGGUGAAAUGCGUAGAUAUCAGGAAGAACACCGGUGGCGAAGGCGGCUGCUGGACGAUCACUGACGUUGAGGCUCGAAGGCGUGGGGAGCAAACAGGAUUAGAUACCUGGUAGUCCACGCAGUAAACGAUGAAUACCAGGUGCUGGGUCCCACAGGGGUUCGGUGCGGCGCUAACGCAUUAAGUAUUCCACCUGGGGAGUACGUUCGCAAGAAUGAAACUCAAAGGAUUGACGGGGACCCGCACAAGCGGUGGAGCAUGUGGUUUAAUUCGAAGCAACGCGAAGAACUUACCAAGUCUUGACAUCCCCCUGACAGCUGCAGAGAUGCAGCCUCUCUUCGGAGCAGGGAGACAGGUGGUGCAUGGUUGUCGUCAGCUCGUGUCGUGAGAUGUUGGGUUAAGUCCCGCACGAGCGCAACCCUUAUGCUUAGUAGCCAGCGGCCAGGCCGGGCACUCUAGGCAGACUGCAGGAAUAACCUGGAGGAAGGCGGGGAUGACGUCAAAUCAUCAUGCCCCUUAUGACUUGGGUACACACGUGCUACAAUGGCGCUGACAGAGGGAGGCAAACCCGCGAGGGGGAGCGAAUCCGAAACAGCGUCCCAGUUCGGACUGUAGUCUGCAACCCGACUAUACGAAGCUGGAAUCGCUGUAAUCGCAGAUCAGAAUGCUGCGGUGAAUACGUUCCCGGGUCUUGCACACACCGCCCGU
rnacentral:rRNA from 1 species